GCUCUGCAACCAGGCCGCUGUUUCGCCUUCUGUUGCAACCGGCUCCCCAAUAAAAAAGGAUGAGAGGCGCGGGCGUGCUGGCGGUGCUGUUGGCGGCGCUGGUGGCGGCGGGGUGCUGCGCGCUGUGCUCUGCGCAGCUGACGUUCACGCCCAGCUGGGGAAAGCGCGCCCCUCCAGAGGCCGCGCCCGCCUACCCCUCCGCCGAGCCCUUCCUCUACCUCUACAAGCUCAUACAGGCGGAAGCACAAAAAAUGGCUGGAUGUAGCAAGUUCCCCAAUUAGUAACACAACAUUCAAUUGGACGACGUGGCACGAGAACUGGUCUUGAUGGUAAAGCUACUUUAUUCUGUACAG